rnacentral:lncRNA from 1 species
AUGCAUUUCAGUCUGGUGACGGACCACAGAGUGAAGAAUGUGAUGAGUACAGAAAUCCAUUCACAAUGUGCACAGGACUUCCCCACAGGGCUAUCUCCAAUUCACAGCUACUCAGAGGUGCCCUGGAAAAGGCUUCAGCUCAGCCACCAGGCUCCCUGCUGCAAGCACAUAGCAGGAGCUCAUGGAGCCCACACUCAAGGCACUGCCUUUUCUGGGAUGAUGUGUCUGAGUUAUGUAUUAGGCAAGUCAGGACCCCAAGAAGAGAAGAAUCCCAGGAGGAAAGGCAGUUCCUUGCCCAGGACUUCAUCACUGCAGAGGGAGAAGCUUUGUAGAUCGCCGUGGUUGCCCUCAUCACAGAAUCAAAAACCCACAGAAUAUCCCACUUCGGAAGCACCCCACAAGGAUCAUCAAGUUCCACUCCUGGCUCCACAAAGGACCACCCGAAAUUCAGACCAUAUUUCUGAGGGCAUUGGCCAAAUGCUUCUUGAACCCCAGUAGGAUCAGCAUUGUGACCACUGCCCUGGGGAGCCUGUGCCAGUGCCCGACUACUCUCUGUGAAGAACCUUUUUCUAACACCCAGCCUGAACCUUCCCUGUCACAGCUUCAUGCUGUUUCAUGUAUCCUAGCAGGAUGCAGGGUGCCUGUUAUUGGCAACGAGUUGCACUUGAACCUUCCGGGAUGCCUGACCACUAUUCCCUGUUACCAGCAGCACCUGGAUGAGGAGUUCCCUGCCACUGAAGCCUCCAUGCGACAUCCCUGUAGGUAACAGAGAUCUCUUCAGGCAGGCAGGCAGUUGUUGUUCCAUAUGAAGUAAAGCCCUAACUAGCAUCUCUGCUUGUUCCAUUAUUUAAGCUUUCUCUUGGUCAAAUGUGCCCAAAUAACUCAGGUUGGAUACUAGCCAUUCAGCGAAGACUCCUAGAGCAAAAUUAAUAAUCCGCUGCCUCCUGUUCAGCAUGCUCAGUACCAUCUCAGCUGUUAAUUCUGCAGCCUGUGAGCAUUUGGAGUUUACAGUUAUUUUCCUAGGACAGAUGGCAGACAGCACUGUAGUAGAGGGGCAGAUGGCUGUGCACCUAUGAGCAAAAAAAAAAAAAAAAAUAGAAUAGAAUAAAGAAAAAAAAAAAGAAAAGAAAAAACCUGCA